rnacentral:rRNA from 1 species
UACGUAGGGCGCAAGCGUUGUCCGGAAUUAUUGGGCGUAAAGAGCUCGUAGGCGGUUUGUCGCGUCUGCUGUGAAAACUCGAGGCUCAACCUCGGGCUUGCAGUGGGUACGGGCAGACUAGAGUGCGGUAGGGGUGACUGGAAUUCCUGGUGUAGCGGUGGAAUGCGCAGAUAUCAGGAGGAACACCAAUGGCGAAGGCAGAUCUCUGGGCCGUAACUGACGCUGAGGAGCGAAAGCAUGGGGAGCGAACAGG